UAUUCAGAGUGCUUCUACAAAUAAUAGCUUCAAUUUGAAGAUCAGAGGAGAGACUUUGAAUGAAAGACAAACUCAGGAAAAUAUUUCAAUAUUACUUAUUUCUGUCAAACCAGCCGCCCCAAGAUGGCAGCCAGGAGAUGAUUACACACUGGCAAUGAUGAGCUCUUUCAUAAAUUCUCCUGUGAGACAUGAAGUGAGGCCUCCAGGGUUGGAAAGAUCACUGAGUUUAUGGAUUCACAGAUUGUGAACUGGUGAUACUAUCUUGUCAUACUCUUCUUCCAAAGGAUUUAUACCCCAUUUAAGUGCCUCAUAAUGUCUGAGGCAGCUUUAAAAUUUUAAAUUGAUAUUAAAUAUUAUAUAUACAUUCAUGUGCACGUCAUGUGUACAUAUAUUUGUGUGUUCUGCUGUAUAUGUUUAUUUAGUUAAGUGGUUUCUAACAUAGGCACCACUGAACCCUAGUGAACCAUGGAAUUAGUGUAGGCUUUCCAAAAUAUAUCUGUGUUUGGCUCAUUGCCCAAACACCAAAUUAAUAUCUUUUACAUACACAAUUUUUCAGUAGUAUAGAAAUGCCAUUUGGAUAGCUAAAAUCGGGGAUCCCUGGGUG
rnacentral:lncRNA from 1 species